GGAAAUCAACAGACACCCUCUGGAAGACCAUGUGUCUGCUACUGGGCAUUUGUUUCAUCUGGUGCCUGAGUUUGCCAUAUUUCAUGCUGAGCAAUGCUGACCAGGACAUCAUCAGCGUGGCCACUAUCAACAGACUUGGGCGGGAUGGCAAUGUGGGGGAGGGAACAGGCAGGCCUGAAGAAAAAAUGAAGAGAAUUAUCAAGAUCAUCAAUGAUCUCCUGAACAUCGCAGAAUCCUCUGACAAUC